rnacentral:tRNA from 1 species
GGGCCGUUAGCUCAGUGGGUCAGAGCACUCCUCUGAUAAGGGAGAGGUCCCUGGUUCGAGUCCAGGACGGCCCA